GCUGGGCUUAAUUGUGCAUGUCUGUAAUCUCUGCUACUGAGGUGGAUCACAAGCUCUGGAGUUCUGAGCAGUAGGCUAAGCCAUUUGGGUCUCUGCAGUAAGUCUGGCACCAGUAUGGUGAGCCCCAGGAGUGAGAACCACCAGGCUGGCUAAGGAGGGGUGAACUGGCCCAGGUUGGAAAUGAAGCAGGUCAAAGCUCCCAUACCAAUCAAGGUGCAUGAAUAGCUGUUACACUUCCAGUUUGGGUGAGAU
rnacentral:SRP_RNA from 1 species